rnacentral:rRNA from 1 species
AGAGUUUGAUCAUGGCUCAGAACGAACGUUGGCGGCGUGGAUUAGGCAUGCAAGUCGAACGAAGACGGUCUUGUAGCAAUACCGGACCGGACUGAGUGGCGAAAGGGGCAGUAAGGCGUGGGUAACCUACCCUGGGGACCGGGAUAGCCUUCCUAACGGAUGGGUAAUACCGGGCGAUCUGCCGAGGGGGCAUCUCCUUGUCAGGAAAUGAGUUUCGCCUCGGGAGGGGCUCACGUGAUAUUAGCUAGUUGGCGGGGUAACGGCCCACCAAGGCAAAGAUGUCUAGCAGGUGUGAGAGCACGACCUGCGCCACUGGCACUGAGACACUGGCCAGACACCUACGGGUGGCUGCAGUCGAGGAUCUUCGGCAAUGGGGGCAACCCUGAUCCAGCGACGCCGCGUGGGUGAAGAAGGCCUGCGGGUUGUAAAGCCCUUUCGGUGGGGAUAAAAAGCCUUGGUCUAACACACCAGGGUCUUGAUCUAACCCAAGAAAGAAGCACCGGCUAACUCUGAGCCAGCAGCCGCGGUAAUACAGAGGGUGCGAGCGUUAAUCGGAAUUACUGGGCGUAAAGCGCACGUAGGUGGCUUUGCAAGUCGAUCGUGAAAUCCCCGGGCUUAACCUGGGAACUGCAGUCGAGACUGCUUUGCUUGAGUAUGGGAGAGGGAGGUGGAAUUUCCGGUGUAGCGGUGAAAUGCGUAGAUAUCGGAAGGAACAUCAGUGGCGAAGGCGACCUCCUGGACCAAUACUGACACUCAAGUGCGAAAGCGUGGGGAGCAAACAGGAUUAGAUACCCUGGUAGUCCACGCCAUAAACGAUGAGAACUGGAUGUCGGAGGGGUCUGCCCUUCGGUGUCGUAGCUAACGCGUUAAGUUCUCCGCCUGGGGAGUACGGCCGCAAGGUUGAAACUCAAAUGAAUUGACGGGGACCCGCACAAGCGGUGGAGCAUGUGGUUUAAUUCGAUGCAACGCGAAGAACCUUACCUGGCCUUGACAUCUGUCGAAUCCUUCAGAGAUGAGGGAGUGCCUUCGGGAACGACAAGACAGGUGCUGCAUGGCUGUCGUCAGCUCGUGUCGUGAGAUGUUGGGUUAAGUCCCGCAACGAGCGCAACCCUUGCCCUUAGUUGCCAGCAUUUAGUUGGGAACUCUAAGGGGACCGCCGGUGACAAACCGGAGGAAGGUGGGGAUGACGUCAAGUCAUCAUGGCCCUUAUGGCCAGGGCUACACACGUGCUACAAUGGUCGGUACAGAGGGUUGCCAAACCGUGAGGUGGAGCCAAUCCCAGAAAGCCGAUCGUAGUCCGGAUCGCAGUCUGCAACUCGACUGCGUGAAGUCGGAAUCGCUAGUAAUCGCGAAUCAGCGAUGUCGCGGUGAAUACGUUCCCGGGUCUUGUACACACCGCCCGUCACACCAUGGGAGUUGAUUGCACCAGAAGUAGGUAGCCUAACCGCAAGGGGGGCGCUUACCACGGUGUGGUCAAUGACUGGGGUGAAGUCGUAACAAGGUAACCGUA